CUUCUUCCUGGGCAGCCACUGCACACGUGAGCCUGAGGGUAGCUGUGUUCCAGCUUUGCACAGAAAGCAGGUUUGGGAGAAUGAAGCCAGAGGCCAAGGAGAGAAUGCGGAAUCCUGGAGUGUUGAAGGCCCUUGUUUUGAUUCCUCGCGUCCUCCAGUCCAUCCUCAUUUUCUGGAGAGGCAGCGUGACCUAACGACGAAAGCCUCCACAACUGGUUUCUGUCGGUGUGAGUCCCAAAUCUGCCACUGGCUGGCUGGGAAACCUUGGCCUAGGUUUUCUUUAAACAUUUGCUUUUGGGGCCCUGAUCUGCCACAUUCAAAAUAUGACUGCCCAUUUGAAAAGAUCAUGUGGAGAGGCUGUGAAGCUAGAGAGAGGGGCCCAGCUGAGCCUGGCCUUCCAGCUGCUCACUAAGGCUCCAGUUAUGUGAGAAGACAUGUUGGACCUCUCAGCCAAGCCCAGCUGCCAGAUGAAUACCACUGAGUCACCCCCGUGGAGGCUGUGUGGAACAGAAGAAUCACCAAGCCAAGUCCUGCUGAAAUUCUGGAUUCACAAAAUCAGGAGCGAUUUGGGAAGAUGGAAAAUGCCAGCUUCAAAGCUGGCUCAUGGGGCUAAAAAGAAGCGACUCUGAAAAUGAGUGUUCUGUUGCCUGUGGAGCUGCCUGGAGGUGUCCUCAGCAAGGCCCUGAAUCACCAUCUGGGAAAGCUGCAUGUGCUGGGCCAAGAGAGGUGGCCUGGGAUGCCCAGCUUGAGGAAGGUGGAUUUUUACCCUGGAACAAGUGACAUGCAAAUAGGCAGCUGAACACAGUGACUUUCCAGGCCAGGCCUGCUCCAGCUGCUGUGCUCCAGCCUCGGGGCCUCAGCCUCCCCUCUGGUUCGUGCUGCAUGAGUGAUGAGUCUGAUCAUGUCCU
rnacentral:lncRNA from 1 species